AACGCUGGCGGCGUGCCUAACACAUGCAAGUCGAACGAAUCUAUUAAGAUGAAGUUUUCGGAUGGAAUCUUGAUUGACUGAGUGGCGGACGGGUGAGUAACGCGUGGAUAACCUGCCUCACACUGGGGGAUAACAGUUAGAAAUGACUGCUAAUACCGCAUAAGCGCACAGUGCCGCAUGGCAGUGUGUGAAAAACUCCGGUGGUGUGAGAUGGAUCCGCGUCUGAUUAGCCAGUUGGCGGGGUAACGGCCCACCAAAGCGACGAUCAGUAGCCGACCUGAGAGGGUGACCGGCCACAUUGGGACUGACACACGGCCCAAACUCCUACGGGAGGCAGCAGUGGGGAAUAUUGCACAAUGGGCGAAAGCCUGAUGCAGCGACGCCGCGUGAGUGAAGAAGUAUUUCGGUAUGUAAAGCUCUAUCAGCAGGGAAGAAAAUGACGGUACCUGACUAAGAAGCCCCGGCUAACUACGUGCCAGCAGCCGCGGUAAUACGUAGGGGGCAAGCGUUAUCCGGAUUUACUGGGUGUAAAGGGAGCGUAGACGGCGAAGCCAGUCUGAAGUGAAAACCCAGGGGCUCAACCCUGGGACUGCUCUGGAAACUGUUUUGCUAGAGUGUCGGAGAGGUAAGUGGAAUUCCUAGUGUAGCGGUGAAAAUGCGUAGAUAUUAGGGGGGAACCCCCAGGGGCGAAGGCGGCUUACUGGAGAUAACUGACGUGGAGGCUCGAAAGCGUGGGGAGCAAACAGGUUUAGAUACCGUGGUAGUUCACGCCGUAAACGAUGAAUGCUAGGUGUUGGGGGGCAAAGCCCUUCGGUGCCGCCGCAAACGCAGUAAGCAUUCCACCUGGGGAGUACGUUCGCAAGAAUGAAACUCAAAGGAAUUGACGGGGACCCGCACAAGCGGUGGAGCGUGUGGUUUAAUUCGAAGCAACGCGAAGAACCUUACCAAGUCUUGACAUCCCCCUGACGGGCCGGUAACGCGGCCUUUCCUUCGGGACAGGGGAGACAGGUGGUGCAUGGUUGUCGUCAGCUCGUGUCGUGAGAUGUUGGGUUAAGUCCCGCAACGAGCGCAACCCUUAUCCUUAGUAGCCAGCACGUGAAGGUGGGCACUCUAGGGAGACUGCCAGGGAUAACCUGGAGGAAGGUGGGGAUGACGUCAAAUCAUCAUGCCCCUUAUGAUUUGGGCUACACACGUGCUACAAUGGCGUAAACAAAGGGAAGCGAGACAGUGAUGUGGAGCAAAUCCCAAAAAUAACGUCCCAGUUCGGACUGUAGUCUGCAACCCGACUACACGAAGCUGGAAUCGCUAGUAAUCGCGAAUCAGAAUGUCGCGGUGAAUACGUUCCCGGGUCUUGUACACACCGCCCGUCACACCAUGGGAGUCAGCAACGCCCGAAGUAAAUGGCCCUUCCGUAAGGGGGGAGCUGCCGA
rnacentral:rRNA from 1 species